rnacentral:misc_RNA from 1 species
GAUGAAGAACGUAGCAAAAUGCGAUACUUGGUGUGAAUUGCAGAAUCCCGUGAACCAUCGAGUUUUUGAACGCAAGUUGCGCCCGAAGCCUUUUGGCUGAGGGCACGUCUGCCUGGGCGUCACGCAUCGCGUCGCCCCCCACAAUUCUCCGUAAAGGGAACAUGUGUUUUGGGGGCGGAUAUUGGUCUCCCGUGCUCAUGGCGUGGUUGGCCGAAAUAGGAGUCCUUUCGAUGGACGCACGAACUAGUGGUGGUCGUAAAAACCCUCGUCUUUUGUUUCGUGCUGUUGCUCGUAAGGUAAACUCUUUAAAAACCCCAAUGUGUCGUCUCUUGACGACGCUUCGACCGCGACCCCAGGUCAGGCGGGACUACCCGCUGAGUUUAAGCAUAUCAAUAAGCGGAGGA